UCGUAGAGCUAGGGAAAGUUUCAGGAAGGUGAGAUUCACAAGAUCUUUCUUAUCCUUGUGUAUUUGUAUGAAAUGUUGAAUUAAGCCUCCUGCAUAUUUUGAAGCAGAUAUCAGUUUUUAAUAAAGUAGUUGCAAUUGUAGGCUGUCCAUAACUCUAUCACCACUAUUAAAGGUUUUGCUCAUUUGCCUUUCAGAAACAAAAAAGUUUUAUUUGCAUGUAAACUUAUCUAGUCACUUUUAUUAGUUAGUUUAUAAGUGUAGUAGAACUGGACCUUCUAAGAGAUGCACCUAGUUUCUUUUGCAUGGAUGCCUGGGUGUUGGGUUGAUCUUUUGAUGAUUGGAUAAUGUUUCAAUCUUUGUUUUUGACAAGUGCCUUUUGUAAGAGGAAUACUGAACUACUGAGUCCUAGUGAAAGCAAAAGCAUUUAAUUUGUCAUCCAAAGACAGGUUAGGUUUGAGGCAUGAGAAAUUGGUAUAAUUACUUUAGGUAGCUCAAGCUAGGAUUGGUUUCAAACUGUGGAAAGCAUGAAAUUGGGGGCUGGAUCUUGACUAAAUGUUGGGAUAUACGACAUAGUGCACUGUGUUGGAUUCUAACAUAAGGACAAUCUACACCUGGUAACGGUCGGCUUGAGUCGUGGAUCAACUUUAUUUUGGUUCCAUAGAGUGUGUUGCCACAUGAUUGUUGAAGAGAUUUUAAGUGAGAGGUGUGUAUAGAUUUGGCACUACUAAGAUGAAUAUCUUGAUUCUGAAGUAAUUAUGGUCUAGUGUGUAUUGGCACAUUGUCGCAAGGGUCAUUGAAAAGUUGUCCGACAUGAAGAUUGAAUUGAUUUUAGAAUGUGGUUGUAGUAUGGCUGAUCUUUGAUAGAUAUGUUUUGGGUUGGAUCAAUUUUGCUUAGUAAGCUUUAUUUUCCUUCCAUUGUCUGGUUUAGUCAUUAAUAUCUAUGUUUGGAAUCUGUUUUCAAGUACUUAGCUUAGCAGUUUGACCUGGAAAGUUUCUUUACGGUUAUCAGCUUAGAGGCAAUUGAAGAAUUAUUCACCUUAAGUACAUAGUUAAAAUUGUUUCAUUUUUGUGGAUCAAGUCAUUAUAGGUGAUGUCAAGAACAUAUUCAUGAAAUUCGUAGUAUUUUCUACCUAGGAUGGAAUUUAUAUUUGAGCAUUCUUGGUUACACCUGGCAGUUUUUGGAUGCUUCUCUCUUAUUUAGACUUGUAGAAGUUCUGGAGUGGAUAUACGUGUUUAUAUGUAGACAUGAUAGUUUUACAACUGUAGGCUGUGCAUAAUCUAGUGAGCUCCAACUAACUAACAAUGGUUUUGCUCAUUUACCUUUGACAAACAGAAGAUCACGCAAUGGUUUAUUAGCAUGUAACUAGACAAGUCCAUGUAUUCGGUAAUAAGUGUAGUAGUGCUUAUGCUUCUGUGAGACACUUAUUACUUUUGCAGACAUGUCUGGUUAAGGAUUGAUCUUUUCAUGCUCUAAUUAUUAGAUUCGUGCCUUUGUAUAAAGGAAAAUCGAACUGGUGAGUAGUAAUGAGAGCUAAGAGCUGUCUAAGGAUGAGUAAAAUUGGGAGUUAUUAGCUGGUGUCAUCAAACUAUGGAAACAUGACAUCCAGGACUGGAUCUGAAUUAAAUCUUGGGGAAUAAGACAUUGUGCACUUUGUUGGCUUCCUAAAUAAAGAUAAUCUAUACUUGAAAGUGGCCGGCUUGAGUUGUGAAUUAAGUUUAUUUUGGUUCCAUAUACUGGGUCGCCAUAUGAUGUUUGAAGGGAAUUUUGAGUGAGAGAGGUGUAUGGAUUUGGCACUGCUAAGAUGGAAAUUCAGAUUUGUAAGUAAUUAUGGUUUAGUGUGUACUGGUUCAUUGUCGCAAGUGUUGACGUUGAAAAGAUAUCUGAUCUGAAGUUUGAAUUAAUUUUGGUAUGUGGUUGUAGGAUUGAUCUAUGGUUGAUGUGUUUUAGGAUGGAUCGAUUUUGCUUGGUAAGCUUUUAUUGUCCUUCCACUCUCUGGUGUAGUCCAUAAUAUCUAUGUUAUAAUAUCUAUGUUUGGAAUCUGUCUUCAAGUACACAGCUUAGCAAUUUGAACUGGAAGGUUUCUUGAAUGCUAUCAACUUAGGGGCAAUUGCAGAAUCAUUCACCUCAAGGACGUAGUUAAAAUUGUUCACAUUUUAGGGGGUUGAGUUGUUAUUGGUGUAUGCCAAGGAUAUAUUCAUGAAAUUUGUAGUACUAAUCUACCUUGGAUAGAGUUUAUAUUUUAGCAUUCUUGGUUAACAUGGUGGCUUUUGGUUGCUUCUCUCAUAUUCAGUACAUCAUCUAUAAUAGAUUGCAGUCUUUAUACGUAGACAUAAUGGUUUUGCAACUGUAGGCUGUGCAUGUAACCUAAUGAUCAAUUAAUUAACAAUGGUUUUGCUAGUUUGCAAUUCAGAAAUAGAAGGUCAAGGAAUGGUUUAUUAGCUUGUAAACUUGACUAGUCACAUGUAUUAGCUAAUAAGUCUUGUACCGGUUGAGCUUCUGUGGGACACUAAUUAUGCCUUUUUAUGGAGGAAUGUCAAACUAGCGAGUAGUAGUGAGAGCUAAGAGUCGUCUAAGGAUGAGUAAAAUUGGGAGUGAUAAGUUGGUGUCAUCAGACUAUGGAAACAGGACAUCUAGGACUGGAUCUGAAUUAAAUCUUGGGCAACAGGACAUUGUGCACUUUGUUGGAUUCCUAAAUAAGGUAAUCUAUACUUGGGAGCGGCCGGCCUCAGUUGUGGAUUAUUUUUAUUUUGGUUCUAUAGACUGGGUCACCAUAUGAUUGUUGAAGAGAAUUUUGAGUAAGAGAGAUGUAUAGAUUUGGCAAUACUAAGAUGAAUAUCCAGAUUCUAAAGUAGUUAUGGUCUAACACAAGGGUUGACAUUAAAAAGAUGUUUGAUAUGAAGAUUGAAUUGAUUUUAGAAUGUGGUUGUAGGAGUGAUCUAUGGUAGAUGUGUUUUAGGAUGGAUCAAUUUUGCUUAGUAAACUUUAUGCUCCUUCUAUUGCCUGGUGUAGCCAUUAAUAUCUAUGUUUUGAAUCUGUUUUCAAGUAAUUAGCUUAGUGGUUUGACAUCGAAAGUUUCUUGAAAGUUAUUAGCUUAGGGGCAACUGCAGAAUCAUUCACCUUUGGAACAGAGUUAAAAUUAUUUUAGGUGGUUGAGUCUUUAUUAGUGAUGUAAAGACUAAUUAGUAGUAUUUUUUUACCUAGGAUAGAAUUUAUAUUCUAGCAUUCUUGGUUACACUUGGCAGCUUUUUGUUGCUUCUCUUGUAUUCAGACUCCUCGUACAUGCUUAGUAGUAGAUAGCAAGAAAUAUUAAUACACAGAGAUAGUUGUUUUACAACUGUAGGCUGUGCAUUAUCUAUUGAGCUCUAAUCAAUUAGCAAUGGUUUUGCCCGUUUACCUUUCAGAGAUAGAAGGUCACAGAACGGUUUAUUAACUGGACAAGUCACUUAUAUUAGCUAAUAAGUGUAGUAGCAUUUGAACUUCUAUGAGAAACACUGAUUUCUUUUGCCCCGCUGUCUGGUCAUGGACUGAUAUUUUCAUGGUCUAUUUAUUAGAUAUGACUUCAAUUUAUCUUUUGACAAUUGCAUUGGUAUAGAGGAAUAUUGAACUAUUGAGUAGUAGUGAGAGCUAAGAGUCAUCUAAGGAGGGGUAAAAUUGGGAGUGAGAAGCUUGUGUCAUCAGUCUAUGGAAACAUGACAUCUAGGAGUGGAUCUAAACUAAAUCUUGGGGAAUAAGACUUUAUGUACUUAAGUAAAGAUAAUCUAUACUUGGGAUCAGCUGGCCUGAGUUGUGGAUUAACUUUGUUUUGGUUCCAUAGAGUGGGUCACCAUAUGAAUUUUGAGGAUAAUUUUGAGUGAGAGAGGUGUAUAAAUUUGGCACUCCUAAGAUAAAUAUCCAGAUUCUGAAGUAAUUUUGGUCUAGUGUGUAUUGGUGCAUUGUCUCAAGGGUUGACAUUGAAAGGAUAUCCAAUAUGAAGAUUGAAUUCAUUUUAGAAUGUGGUUGUUGUACGGCUGAUCUUUGGUAGGUUUGUUUUAGGAUGAAUCAAUGUUGUUUAAUAAGCUUUUAUUCUCCUUCCAUUAACUGGGGUAGUCGUUGAUAUCUUUGCCUGGAAUCUGUUUUCAAGUACUAAGGAUAAUUGGUUAUAUAUUUGCCUGGAAGUUUCUUUAAGGUUAUCAGCUUAAGGGCAAUAGCAGAAUCAUUCUCUCGAGAACAUAGUUGAAUUCAUCCACAUUUUAGGGGGUUGAGUCAUUAUUAGUUAUGUCAAGGAUAUAUAAAAUGUCUGAGAAGUUAAUAAAAUCUGUAUUUGGAAUUUGUUUUCAUCUAUCUUAGUGAGCUGUUUGACCUAGAAAGUGUCUUUGAGACUAUCAACUUGAGGAAAAUUACAUAAUUACUCGCUCCAAAAACAUACUUGAGAUCUUCCAAAGUUGUUGGUGGUUAACGACAUUUAUGGAAUUUUUAAGAAAGUUUGUGCCUACAAUAGAAUAUAUUUUUAGACAUUAUCGGUUGGACCUGGCUGCUUUUGGUUGCUUUCUCUCAUACUUAUUUCUUAUAUAGAGUCCUUGUUCCUAGUAUAAGUAAGAACAUUUUGCUGGUGAGAGAGAGAGAAAGGGAUGAAUAAUUUCAGAGGGGAGUCCUAGAGCUAGGGAGUUUAAGACGAAGAUUCCAAAGAUUCUUGAGAAGCAGUGUGCAGAAAUGAAAACUAUCUGUUAUGUGCCACCACCUAAACUCAUUCCUACUACUACUAUUUAAAUGCAUCCCAGCCAUAUCUAUUCUCAUUUUUCUUCUAUGAACUAAUAAAGAAAAUUGUCUUUUCUGAUGUGGGAGAGGAGAAUUUGGGAGCCGUAUGAAGAAGAAGUGGUUGAGAUGAGGAGUCGAAGAAAAAAGCUCAAUUUUUGUCAGAAACCCAAAGCUCCAUUACCUUUGAUAAACCCUCUCAAAUCGGACUUGAAUUUCUCUCACCAACUCAAAAUCUCCCUUAAACAUACAAUUCACUCGAUUCUUGAAGCCAGAGACACCACCAUCUCAUAGCCUUCAGGUGAUCCCUUUCCCCUUCGUUCUCAUCCACCGCCACCACCAAUUUCGCUUCGCCGCUGUUGCCAUCGGCACUACUGCUUAGAUUUCCUGGUAUGGGUCGCAUCGCCAAGUCCGUCAACGACCACAAGGCCAGUCUAGAUCUCAUUUCGAUAGACAAUCUGCCCAAGCCACUCAUCAUUGCAGACGUCUCUCCAACUCCGAUGCAUGGCUUGAAGCUCCAUAUUGCCCACCAAGGUGUUCCCGGAGCUUUCAGCGAAGCCACUGCCGGCAAAGUUUAUAUGAACAUGCGAAGUGGGUUUUCAUGAAGAAAUUUUGCGAGUUUUAGUUGAAUUUUGAUUUCUUAUUGCCCAAAUCUAAUACAAGUUGACUUUAAUUUGAGCGGUUUCUGCUUAAUUUAGUAUUG